UACGGAGGAUCCGAGCGUUAUCCGGAUUUAUUGGGUUUAAAGGGUGCGUAGGUGGCCUGUUAAGUCAGGGGUGAAAGACGGUAGCUCAACUAUCGCAGUGCCCUUGAUACUGAUGGGCUUGAAUGAACUAGAGGUAGGCGGAAUGUGACAAGUAGCGGUGAAAUGCAUAGAUAUGUCACAGAACACCAAUUGCGAAGGCAGCUUACUAUGGUUUUAUUGACACUGAGGUACGAAAGCGUGGGGAUCAAACAGG
rnacentral:rRNA from 1 species